CUUGGUCAUUUAGAGGAAGUAAAAGUCGUAACAAGGUCUCCGUUGGUGAACCAGCGGAGGGAUCAUUAAAGAGUUGCAAAACUCCCUUUAAACCAUCGCGAACGUUACCCACGACGCCGUUGCCUCGGCGGAGCGUCGCCCCGUGCCGUCAAAAGUACGGGGCGUGCGCCCGCCGGGAGACCGGCACAACCAAACUCUUAUAACCAUUGGCCUCUCUGAGUAAGAUUUUUAAAUAAGUCAAAACUUUCAACAACGGAUCUCUUGGUUCUGGCAUCGAUGAAGAACGCAGCGAAAUGCGAUAAGUAAUGUGAAUUGCAGAAUUCAGUGAAUCAUCGAAUCUUUGAACGCACAUUGCGCCCCUUGGUAUUCCGAGGGGCAUGCCUAUUCGAGCGUCAUUAUCACCCCUCAAGCCUAGCUUGGUGUUGAGACCUGCUGUCAAGGCAGUCUCUAAAAUCAGUGGCAGUGCUGUCAGGCUCUAAGCGUAGUAAAUUCAUCGCUAUAGACACCUGGUGGCCACUCGCCAGAACCCCCCCAUUUUUUAAUGAUUGACCUCGGAUUAGGUAGGGAUACCCGCUGAACUUAAGCAUAUCAAUAAGCGGAGGAAAAGAAACCAACAGGGAUUGCCUCAGUAACGGCGAGUGAAGCGGCAAAAGCUCAAAUUUGAAAUCUGGCUCUUUUAGGGUCCGAGUUGUAAUUUGUAGAAGAUGUUUCGGGUGUGGCUCCGGUUUAAGUUCUUUGGAAUAUUACAUCAUAGAGGGUGAGAAUCCCGUAUGUGACCGGCAGCCUUCGCCUAUGUGAAACUCUUUCGACGAGUCGAGUUGUUUGGGAAU
rnacentral:sRNA from 1 species